UGUUGGCUUAGAAGCAGCCAUCAUUUAAAGAAAGCGUAAUAGCUCACUGGUCGAGUCGGCCUGCGCGGAAGAUGUAACGGGGCUAAACCAUGCACCGAAGCUGCGGCAGCGACACUGUGUGUUGUUGGGUAGGGGAGCGUUCUGUAAGCCUGUGAAGGUGUGUCGUGAGGCAUGCUGGAGGUAUCAGAAGUGCGAAUGCUGACAUAAGUAACGAUAAAGCGGGUGAAAAGCCCGCUCGCCGGAAGACCAAGGGUUCCUGUCCAACGUUAAUCGGGGCAGGGUGAGUCGACCCCUAAGGCGAGGCCGAAAGGCGUAGUCGAUGGGAAACGGGUUAAUAUUCCCGUACUUGGUGUUACUGCGAAGGGGGGACGGAGAAGGCUAUGUUGGCCGGGCGACGGUUGUCCCGGUUUAAGCGUGUAGGUGUGUGUUCCAGGUAAAUCCGGUUCACUUUAACACUGAGGCGUGACGACGAGGCACUACGGUGCUGAAGCAACAAAUGCCCUGCUUCCAGGAAAAGCCUCUAAGCAUCAGGUAACAUCAAAUCGUACCCCAAACCGACACAGGUGGUCAGGUAGAGAAUACCAAGGCGCUUGAGAGAACUCGGGUGAAGGAACUAGGCAAAAUGGUGCCGUAACUUCGGGAGAAGGCACGCUGACAC
rnacentral:rRNA from 1 species